rnacentral:rRNA from 1 species
AGCAUUAUGAAAACAUAUAAAGUGACACCUGCCCGGUGAUUAAUUUUAACGGCCGCAGUACCUUGACUGUGCUAAGGUAGCAUAAUAAAUUGACUUUUAAUUGAAGCCUUGUAUGAAAGGAAUAAUGGAUAAUUUCUGUCUCUAAAUAAUUUAUUUAAAGUUACUUAAAAGGUGCAAAUACCUUUAAUUUUUUUAAUAGACGAGAAGACCCUAGGAGUUUAUUUAACAAUUUAUUUGAAAUAUUUUGUUGGGGCGACAUUACAGCAUUAUAUAUAUUAACCUGUAAACUUAAAUUAAAUUUAACGAAAAUUUUUAAUUAAGAUUAAACUACCCUAGGGAUAACAGCAUAAUUUUUAUAAAGUUUGUGACCUCGAUGUUGGAUUAGGAAUUUUUAAUAUUAACAGUAUUAAAAUUAUGUUCUGUUCGAACAUUUACUCCUACAU